AUUGAACGCUGGCGGCAUGCUUUACACAUGCAAGUCGAACGGUAACAGGCCUUCGGGUGCUGACGAGUGGCGAACGGGUGAGUAAUGCAUCGGAACGUACCCAGAGGUGGGGGAUAACGCAGCGAAAGCUGUGCUAAUACCGCAUGUGAUCUGAGGAUGAAAGCGGGGGACCGAGCAGCAAUGUUUGGCCUCGCGCCUUUGGAGCGGCCGAUGUCGGAUUAGCUAGUUGGUGGGGUAAAGGCCUACCAAAGCGACGAUCCGUAGCUGGUCUGAGAGGACGACCAGCCACACUGGGACUGAGACACGGCCCAGACUCCUACGGGAGGCAGCAGUGGGGAAUUUUGGACAAUGGGCGCAAGCCUGAUCCAGCAAUGCCGCGUGCGGGAAGAAGGCCUUCGGGUUGUAAACCGCUUUUGGCAGGAACGAAACGGUGUCCGCUAAUACCGGGCGCUAAUGACGGUACCUGCAGAAUAAGCACCGGCUAACUACGUG
rnacentral:rRNA from 1 species